rnacentral:rRNA from 1 species
GACGAACGCUGGCGGCGUGCUUAACACAUGCAAGUCGAACGAGUGGCGAACGGGUGAGUAAUGUCUGGGAAACUGCCCGAUGGAGGGGGAUAACUACUGGAAACGGUAGCUAAUACCGCAUACCAUCGGAUGUGCCCAGAUGGGAUUAGCUAGUAGGUGGGGUAACGGCUCACCUAGGCGACGAUCCCUAGCUGGUCUGAGAGGAUGACCAGCCACACUGGAACUGAGACACGGUCCAGACUCCUACGGGAGGCAGCAGUGGGGAAUGUUGCACAAUGGGCGCAAGCCUGAUGCAGCCAUGCCGCGUGUAUGAAGAAGGCCUUCGGGUUGUAAAGUACUUUCAGCGCGGAGGCGUUACUCGCAGAAGAAGCACCGGCUAACUCCGUGCCAGCAGCCGCGGUAAUAC